GUUCUGUUUCCAAGUUCUCUUCUUUCUUCAGCCUUUCUUUAGUUGUUUAUUGUUCGUAUUCGUUGCUUCGUCUUGUUUCGUUGUGAGCUUUCUACAACUUUUCAUACCUGAUUUUUACUUCGUUCAGUCCAGUGACGAAUUUGGUUUGUGCACGCCCUUUUAUACUAACGGUUUAAGGGAUCUUUGUACGCGUGAUCUAGCAAGUGAUGUGAUUGGUAUCCAGCCAAUCAACUUUGAGUUAUAAAAGUGUGGGUUGGCGUUGCUAGCUCGUUCCAGCUCUCACAUUCUGUUUAUUUAAGGCGUUGUCGCACUGGUCGAGUCGGUUCGCUGUUCAAUCGAUAAAUGCUAAAAUAUGUUCACAAUUUAAGAUACUUAUCAAAAUAUUUAUAAGUAAUAGCAUGGCAUUCUGGGCGAUUAGUGAUUAAAUGUACCCGAAAGCCGAGAGAGGUUUACUAAAC